CGUAUUUGUAUUGUUAUUAGUCAUGUUCCGGAUUUGAAUCCUUAUUUCAAAAUUCGGGGUGUGACAAUGGUAUUGGCAAGGUUUGCAGAAUAUGCAGACCAUAGUGUUGGGGAUUAUCAUGUGCUUUGGUCAUAUUACUCAUAUAUGAUAGCAAUCUGGGAUUUUCAUGUGUUUCUGUAAUGUUCCUUGUAUGGCAGAUCGAACACCUUCAAGAAUAGUGAGGCUGGCUAGAGUACUAAUCACUGAUAAUUAGCUUCUGGGGC
rnacentral:lncRNA from 1 species